rnacentral:rRNA from 1 species
GCUUGUCUCAAAGAUUAAGCCAUGCACGUCUAAGUAUAAGCGAUUAUACUGUGAAACUGCGAAUGGCUCAUUAUAUCAGUUAUAGUUUAUUUGAUAGUCCCUUACUACUUGGAUAACCGUAGUAAUUCUAGAGCUAAUACAUGCAUCAACUCCCAACUGCUUGUCGGACGGGAUGUAUUUAUUAGAUGGAAACCAAUGCGGGGCAACCCGGUGUUGUGGUGAAUCAUGAUAACUUUGCGGAUCGCGUCCUCGUGUCGCGACGAAUCAUUCAAGUUUCUGCCCUAUCAGCUUUGGAUGGUAGGGUAUUGGCCUACCAUGGCUUUGACGGGUAACGGAGAAUUAGGGUUCGAUUCCGGAGAGGGAGCCUGAGAGAUGGCUACCACAUCCAAGGAAGGCAGCAGG